rnacentral:rRNA from 1 species
UGGGGAAUUUUGGACAAUGGGGGAAACCCUGAUCCAGCCAUCCCGCGUGUGCGAUGAAGGCCUUCGGGUUGUAAAGCACUUUUGGCAGGAAAGAAACGUCAUGGGUUAAUACCCCGUGAAACUGACGGUACCUGCAGAAUAAGCACCGGCUAACUACGUGCCAGCAGCCGCGGUAAUACGUAGGGUGCAAGCGUUAAUCGGAAUUACUGGGCGUAAAGCGUGCGCAGGCGGUUCGGAAAGAAAGAUGUGAAAUCCCAGAGCUCAACUUUGGAACUGCAUUUUUAACUACCGGGCUAGAGUGUGUCAGAGGGAGGUUGAAUUCCGCCUGUAGCAGUGAAAUGCGUAGCUAUGCGGAGGAACACCGAUGGCGAAGGCAGCCUCCUGCGAUAACACUGACGCUCAUGCACGAAAGCGUGGGGAGCAAACAAG